GUGCUUUGGCAGUGCAUACACUAAAAUUGGACCGAUACAGAGAAGACUAACAUGGUACCUGCGCAAGGAUGACACACACAUUUGUGAAGCAUUCCUUAUUAAA